UACGAAGGGGCUAGCGUUGCUCGGAAUCACUGGGCGUAAAGGGUGCGUAGGCGGGUCUUUAAGUCAGGGUGAAAUCCUGGAGCUCAACUCCAGAACUGCCUUUGAUACUGAGGAUCUUGAGUUCGGGAGAGGUGAGUGGAACUGCGAGUGUAGAGGUGAAAUUCGUAGAUAUUCGCAAGAACACCAGUGGCGAAGGCGGCUCACUGGCCCGAUACUGACGCUGAGGCACGAAGCGUGGGAGCAAC
rnacentral:rRNA from 1 species